UACGGAGGGUGCAAGCGUUGUUCGGAAUCACUGGGCUUAAAGAGUGCGUAGGCGGCUUGCCAGGCGGGGUGUGAAAUCCCUCGGCCCAACCGAGGAAUGGCGCUCCGAACCGGCAGGCUUGAGUAGGAUAGAGGUCAGCGGAACUGAUGGUGGAGCGGUGAAAUGCGUUGAUAUCAUCAGGAACACCUGUGGCGAAAGCGGCUGACUGGGUCCUCACUGACGCUGAGGCACGAAAGCCAGGGGAGCGAACGGG
rnacentral:rRNA from 1 species